rnacentral:rRNA from 1 species
UGGGGAAUUGUUCGCAAUGGGCGCAAGCCUGACGACGCAACGCCGCGUGGAGGAUGAAGGUCUUCGGAUUGUAAACUCCUGUUGCUCGGGACGAAAAGCUUCGACCUAAUACGUCGAAGUCUGACGGUACCGAGUGAGGAAGCCCCGGCUAACUCUGUGCCAGCAGCCGCGGUAAUACAGAGGGGGCAAGCGUUGUUCGGAAUUACUGGGCGUAAAGGGCGCGUAGGCGGCCUGCUAAGUCGAACGUGAAAUCCCUGGGCUCAACCCAGGAACUGCGUCCGAUACUGGUUGGCUUGAAUCUGGGAGAGGGAUGUGGAAUUCCAGGUGUAGCGGUGAAAUGCGUAGAUAUCUGGAGGAACACCGGUGGCGAAGGCGACAUCCUGGACCGGCAUUGACGCUGAGGCGCGAAAGCCAGGGGAGCAAACGGGAUUAGAUACCCCGGUAGUCCUGGCCCUAAACGAUGAAUGCUUGGUGUGGUGGGUAUCGAUCCCUACCGUGCCGAAG